rnacentral:rRNA from 1 species
AUUGAACGCUGGCGGCAGGCUUAACACAUGCAAGUCGAGCGAGCGGCGGACGGGUGAGUAAUGUCUGGGAAACUGCCUGAUGGAGGGGGAUAACUACUGGAAACGGUAGCUAAUACCGCAUACCAUCAGAUGUGCCCAGAUGGGAUUAGCUAGUAGGUGGGGUAAUGGCUCACCUAGGCGACGAUCCCUAGCUGGUCUGAGAGGAUGACCAGCCACAGUGGAACUGAGACACGGUCCGGACUCCUACGGGGGGCGGCAGGGGGAAUUAUUGCACAAGGGGCGCAGGCCUGAGGCAGCCAGGCGGCGUGUGGGAAGAAGGCCUUGGGGUUGUAAAGCACUUUCAGCGAGGAGGGGUUACUCGCAGAAGAAGCACCGGCUAACUCCGUGCCAGCGGCCGCGUAAUAC